UAUUAAUAUGCUGUGGUUCUUUUACGUACUAAAAGGUUAAUACAAAUUCUUUUACAACCCUAAAGUCCUAGCAAGAACUGUUCUAAUUCUAAUGUCAGCAAUCAUCAAAGCAUCAGCAAUUAUCAAGUGGAUACAUGGUUUUGAAUCUAUAGUAAUUUUUAAAAAGUAGUAAUACAUAUUUUGUAAGAAUUGUAGUAAUUACCGUGAUCGAUUAUGUCUUGAAAUAAUCAAGAAAUAUGCUGCUAAAUAAGUCUGCUGAGUAAACUUUCGCUUCUCUAUUUUGUUUUGACGUUAUUCUAUUCAACAGGAGCUCAAAAGAUCCUAAAUUUAAAAUUGAAUAAAAUUCCAAUUCAAAUAUGAAUAUUCAAAAACAAAAAUAACAAAAAAGAUAUGGAUCAGAAUAUCUGGCUUGGAUUUUCUCCCAGAAGGAAGAAAAUACAUAAAAAGCGCUCAGUAAUUUCAGCUUCGAUCAUCUGGGGAAAUAAUCAUCACGUCCAUAUUCACUUUCAAUCAAAUUCUAUUAACAACUAAAUAAUUCAAUUUAACCAACAAUUUUUUUAAUGACUUGUAACUUCAACAAAAAUUAAGGGAAGAAAUGGAAUGGAAGAACAUGUAUCAGAAUAUCUGGCUUGGAUUUUCUUCCCAAAGAAAGAAAAUACAGAAAAAGCGCUCAGUAGUUUCAGUUUCGAUCAUCUGGGGAAAUAAUCAUCACAUCCACACAAAAAUUCAAUCAAAAUCAAAUUAUACUUCGUUCAAAAACGAAAUAUCAUUUUCCAACUUACAAGAAAUUAACUUUACAUUAUCAUUUUCAAAAAAAUUCUAUUGAUAAGAAUUAAGGAAAAAUAUGCAAUGAAAGGAGAUGGAUCAGAAUAUCUGGCUUGGAUUUUCUCCCCGAAGGAAGAAAAUGCAUAAAAAAGCGCUCAGUAAUUUCAGCUUCGAUCAUCUGGGGAAAUAAUCAUCACUUCCAUCUCCUUUACUGAAUUUCACAAAAUCAAAAGCAAAAAAAAAUAGAAAUAGAAACAGAUAUAGAACUGUUUAUUAACACUAAAAUAUCUCCUGAUCUGAUUCAAGCAGCUCUUUAAAGAGCAAGUGGAAAAUUUUCUGAGGCAGAAACGGAAAUAUAGAUAUUGCGUCGGGUCAUACACAACGGCCAUUUUAAAACACCGCUGGUAAUCAGUAAAUCGACGCAUUUUCACAAACAUAUAAUAUGAACAUAAACAGAAAUCAUUAAAAAUAUUUGCUAAUUGAGAUUGCGGUGGCUACUGUUGAAGAGAUGAGGGAGAAGAGGGACAACGGCGAAACAAUUG
rnacentral:lncRNA from 1 species